UACGAAGGGGGCUAGCGUUGCUCGUAAUCACUGGGCGUAAAGGGUGCGUAGGCGGGUCUUUAAGUCAGGGGUGAAAUCCUGGAGCUCAACUCCAGAACUGCCUUUGAUACUGAGGAUCUUGAGUUCGGGAGAGGUGAGUGGAACUGCGAGUGUAGAGGUGAAAUUCGUAGAUAUUCGCAAGAACACCAGUGGCGAAGGCGGCUCACUGGCCCGAUACUGACGCUGAGGCACGAAAGCGUGGGGAGCAAACAGG
rnacentral:rRNA from 1 species